UACGUAGGGUGCGAGCGUUAAUCGGAAUUACUGGGCGUAAAGCGUGCGCAGGCGGUUAUGUAAGACAGGUGUGAAAUCCCCGGGCUUAACCUGGGAACUGCAUUUGUGACUGCAUAGCUAGAGUACGGUAGAGGGGGAUGGAAUUCCGCGUGUAGGCAGUGAAAUGCGUAGAUAUGCGGAGGAACACCGAUGGCGAAGGCAAUCCCCUGGACCUGUACUGACGCUCAUGCACGAAAGCGUGGGGAGCAACAGG
rnacentral:rRNA from 1 species